AAGCACACAGAGCAGAGUGGUCUGGGAAAAAAUGUGUCCACCCUGGUGGAGGUUCCCAUCCGUUCUACGGGUUCGAUGCCUCCCAUCCUCUCCCGACCCCAGACCCAUUUCUGGACACGUUGUGAGGGAACAUCACUGAGCACCGCUCUCAGCAUUUGACAUCCAUCUGCUAUGCCAGCAAGGCUUCUGGUCACCUAGGCAUCAGCAAGUGUCCUCAGAGGGAAGAGAGGAGGAGAGAUAAUGCCAAAUAUCACAGUCUGGGAGAGGGGCAUUUGAACAGCCACCAGCAUCCAGAACCAGUUUUCCUUCCUUAAAGAGAGAGCGAAGAGUCGCCCCUGACUUCAUUGUUGUGUUCUUUUUUUUGAAUUUUCUGCCUGAAUUUACCAUCGGCACAACCCUCCCUCCCUCCACCGCCCCCCAUUUCCAAAAGGUGUAGAGAAGACGUGCCAUAUGUGGAUUCCCUCUGCCGAUAUGUUUCCCAAAGCCCCCAUAAACUGACAUUAAUUGUUUUGACUGCACGCAUCCACUCAUGACAGCCUGCUGCUCGCUCCUCUCCGGUCAGACUCUGAAUGCACGGGCUCAUCAGCCUCACCCGCACCGCCCGGAGUUGGAAAACUCUGCAGCAGACCGGAGAAGAAGGGAAGAGAGGAGCGUUUUUCCGGAGAGAGGCGCGCUCUGAAUAUUUAGCAGAUCACUGCCCGAGAGGAGACGUCCCAGCCACGGCGGGUUAUUAAAAUUAAAAACUGUUUGGUUUGCCUCUUCAUUACAGGCAGGCUGUGUUGGAACACAUUAUCUUCGACGUCGUCUCUGUCGAUAGGCGAGUUGUUGACCUACACGAGGCAGACGCACAAAUCCAUGCAGUACCUUUCUCCUUCCAAUAAAGCCAUGGAAAUCUGAUGGACUUGCUGGAUAAUAUUAAAACUCGAGAAAAAAGCUUUAUGAAAGCGACUCCAGAACACUAUCAAAUUAUUAGUAUGCUUUUUCAUAAUACAGACGGUUUCACAUUUUAUUGAGAGAGAGAGAGAGAGAGUUUUCCUCCAGCCCUCUUGGGAAUGAUUUUAUUGAAAGUAUCAGCAUGAGAAAGAUGCCUGCAUCAUUUCUUCAGUGCCAGGGGUGAGAAUCUUUGACUGGCUUGUUGUAAUGUGAACAUAUAAAAAUUCACUCAGUGUUCAGACCCUGCCUUUUAUUUAAUGGAUAAUCCAGCUGGAUCCACUCUGAUUCUUUACAUUACUGCUUGCCGGUAUUAAGCGUCUGCUCUAGCUACUUUACAUUUUCCCGAUCACAGAUCCCGAAUCGAAGAAACUUAUUGCCGUCGGGUGAAAGCGCCCUGGAGUUUCUGCAUGGGGAGCUGACAGGUAUUCGUGUUUUACUGGGAGUAAUGUUGGUGGGGUUAACUAAUCCGAAAUCUCUUGUUUGAAAUGAUGCCGUGCCUUCAUUAAACAACCAGAACUCCGUCUCUACCUCUUUUUCUUUGACAACAGAGAUAGACACCUUUUUUU